rnacentral:rRNA from 2 species
GGCGCAAGCCUGAUGCAGCCAUGCCGCGUGUGUGAAGAAGGCCUUCGGGUUGUAAAGCACUUUCAGUCGUGAGGAAGGUGGUAGUGUUAAUAGCACUAUCAUUUGACGUUAGCGACAGAAGAAGCACCGGCUAACUCCGUGCCAGCAGCCGCGGUAAUACGGAGGGUGCGAGCGUUAAUCGGAAUUACUGGGCGUAAAGCGCAUGCAGGUGGUUUGUUAAGUCAGAUGUGAAAGCCCGGGGCUCAACCUCGGAAUAGCAUUUGAAACUGGCAGACUAGAGUACUGUAGAGGGGGGUAGAAUUUCAGGUGUAGCGGUGAAAUGCGUAGAGAUCUGAAGGAAUACCGGUGGCGAAGGCGGCCCCCUGGACAGAUACUGACACUCAGAUGCGAAAGCGUGGGGAGCAAACAGGAUUAGAUACCCUGGUAGUCCACGCCGUAAACGAUGUCUACUUGGAGGUUGUGGCCUUGAGCCGUGGCUUUCGGAGCUAACGCGUUAAGUAGACCGCCUGGG